AUUGAACGCUAGCGGGAUGCCUUACACAUGCAAGUCGAACGGAGUGGCGAACGGGUGAGUAAUGUAUCGGAACGUGCCCAGUAGCGGGGGAUAACUACGCGAAAUCGUAGCUAAUACCGCAUACUAUUGGACCGGCCGAUAUCGGAUUUGCUAGUUGGUGGGGUAACGGCGCACCAAGGCGACGAUCCGUAGCUGGUUUGGGAGGACAACCAGUUACACUGGAAAUGAGAACCGGCCCAGACUCCUACGGGAGGCAGCAGUGGGGAAUUUUGGACAAUGGGGGAAACCCUGAUCCAGCCAUCCCGCGUGUACGAUGAAGGCCUUCGGGUUGUAAAGCACUUUUGGCAGGAAAGCGGUACCUGCAGAAUAAGCACCGGCUAACUACGUGCCAGCAGCCGCGGUAAUUC
rnacentral:rRNA from 1 species